rnacentral:misc_RNA from 1 species
GUGCUUUGCAGGUUUUAAGCGUUAUAUUUUUUAUUUUUGCAGAAUAAUUUGUAUUUCAUUUUAAUUGUGUGUGGUUUUAAAUAUUAAGUUAUUAACUAGCUAGUUAUUUUUCGAAACUAGGACUGUAGGUACAACGGUGGAAAGUUUUAGCUUGUUUUCGAGCUCUUCAUCGAAUAAGGAAAAGUGUUUUUCAUGGAGACUCACUUGCUCUUGAAGCGGCUAGACAAAAAAUUGGUGAAGAAUUCAGAAAAAAUGCAGCAGAAUCAGAUCAUGAUAAGAUAACAGAGCAAUUGAAGAUAGGGUGGGAUUGUGAAAUGCUUCUCCGCGAAAAAGUAGUUCAACUUCAACUUAAUAAACAAGGUCGUUAUGAGUUAAAGCUACGACAGGAUGUACGUUUAGAGAAGAAUACACCAUACA